rnacentral:lncRNA from 1 species
UGAAAAUCAUUAAAGAAAGAUUUUCCUUUACCAUGGUAAAAGUUAAUAUUUAUUAUUUAAUAAUUUAAGUUGACUUUACAUGAUAUUGUUUACUUAAAAUUUACCCUUACUAAUUUCAACUAAUAUUUAUCCUGAUUAUUUUAACUAAUAUUUAUUUUCAUUAAUUUUAAGCAAUGAAUUUAUUCAUUAAACACCCAGAGUUAAAUAUUGUAGAUUCAAAAGAUAAAUGAGUCAUAGACGUGGAAUCAUGGUUGUAAAAUGUGCUCUCGCCAGUGAAUUAUGGUUGACUUGGAAUCAUUUUUGAACUUUAAGUUAUAAUAUUAAGUUAUGUUAUCAAACAUACUUAAUCUAUUUACGGGCUUAAAUUAAGUUAUUGAGUUGAUUUACUAAAGACCCAUUGUGAAAGAGUUAGCUGCUAGAUAUUUUUCUAGUAUUGAGAAGAUGAAGUGAGCAACUUUUCUUCAGUAUCAUGGGUUUUACCGAGUAUAAAACUUCAAGUUAUGUAGCAUAUAAUAAAGUUAGCAAUGGUUUGAAACCAGAAGGAUCCAAGUUAUGAUAGGUAAAAUUCAAACAAUAUUUAAUGCUGGAUGGAAAAUUUCUUCAGCGUAAGGCACUUUUAUAAUUGGGAUAAUUGACAUUCCAGACCAGGUAGCUUCAAGCCAUGGAGUCAUAGACAAGAGUCAAGUUAAACCAGAGGAGAAACCCAUAUCUUCUAUUUGGACACAAAAUCAAACACAUAGCAUGCACAAGUCAGAAAUCUGGAAAAUUUCUUCAGCAUACGGCACUUAUAUAAUUGGGAUAAUUGACAUCCCAGACCAGGUGGCUUCAAGCCAUGGAGUCAUAGACAAAAGUCAAGUUAAACCAAAGGAGAAACCCAUAUCUUCUAAUUGAACACAAAAUCAAACACAUAGCAUGCACAAGUCAGAAAUCUGGAAAUUUUCUUCAGCGUAAGGCACUUUUAUAAUUGGGAUAAUUGACAUUCCAGACCAGGUAGCUUCAAGCCAUGGAGUCAUAGACAAGAGUCAAGUUAAACCAGAGGAGAAACCCAUAUCUUCUAGUUGGACACAAAAUCAAACACAUAGCAUGCACUAGUCAGAAAUCAGAGUUCACACGGAAAACUGAAUAAAUAACCAUCUUACGCAUUCCAACCUACAAAUGAGAACGAUUCAAGUCUCAGAGAGUAAAUGCAAGUCGAAAAUACCAGCAUCCAUUAAUUAAUCCGUCAAUACCUUAUAAGAUCGAACCUAUCUCGGGUAAAAUCAAGGCAUGCAGUGCGAAUUCGGUUGGCUUCCUUGACACCCAUUGCGCCAUUUUGGAAAGGGUUUCCGUCUCCUUCUUCAAGGUACCCUUUCUUUGUCAAAAUUUCCAUCAAAUCCACCCAUUCCGGCCACGGAUGCAAAUGACGGACAGUCGACUUCGUAGGGCUAAUCCAAUCUGAUGGGGCUCCAUGUACUGUCGAUGGUGGAGACUCGUCUAGCUCAUCCAAAAACUCCAGCUUUGAGUCGGGCAAUGGUGUUUCGCUUGGAGAGUGAAAGUGUGAAAUGGGGGAGAAAAAUCUGGGGGCGCUGAAGUGGGUAACAAAGGUCGAAGUGAAAUAUUCACGACCUGUACGGAAGAGUCUGUUCAUCUCGCACGGCGGGUAAAUUUUUUGGGAGGAUGUUUCAGUUUCAGGUGGCAGCUUGUUACUGCUUGUAUUACAAUUCUAGACUUUCUAGUCAUUUGAAUCCGACCGAGAUAAUCAAUCAGGAGCACAGGAAAGCGAGAAAGAUUUAC